GAUGAACGCUGGCGGCGUGCCUAAUACAUGCAAGUCGAGCGAACAGACGAGGAGCUUGCUCCUCUGACGUUAGCGGCGGACGGGUGAGUAACACGUGGAUAACCUACCUAUAAGACUGGGAUAACUUCGGGAAACCGGAGCUAAUACCGGAUAAUAUAUUGAACCGCAUGGUUCAAUAGUGAAAGACGGUUUUGCUGUCACUUAUAGAUGGAUCCGCGCCGCAUUAGCUAGUUGGUAAGGUAACGGCUUACCAAGGCGACGAUGCGUAGCCGACCUGAGAGGGUGAUCGGCCACACUGGAACGGAGACACGGUCCAGACUCCUACGGGAGGCAGCAGUAGGGAAUCUUCCGCAAGGGGCGAAAGCCUGACGGAGCAACGCCGCGUGAGUGAUGAAGGUCUUCGGAUCGUAAAACUCUGUUAUUAGGGAAGAACAAAUGUGUAAGUAACUAUGCACGUCUUGACGGUACCUAAUCAGAAAGCCACGGCUAACUACGUG
rnacentral:rRNA from 1 species